CACGUAGGGCGCAAGCGUUGUCCGGAAUUAUUGGGCGUAAAGAGCUCGUAGGCGGUCUGUUGCGUCCGCUGUGAAAACUCGGGGCUUAACCCCGAGCCUGCAGUGGAUACGGGCAGACUAGAGGUAGGUAGGGGAGAAUGGAAUUCCCGGUGUAGCGGUGAAAUGCGCAGAUAUCGGGAGGAACACCGGUGGCGAAAGCGGCUCUCUGGACCACUACUGACGCUGAGGCGCGAAAGCUAGGGGAGCAAACAGG
rnacentral:rRNA from 1 species